GAUGAACGCUGGCGGCGUGCCUAAUACAUGCAAGUCGAGCGAACGGACGAGAAGCUUGCUUCUCUGAUGUUAGCGGCGGACGGGUGAGUAACACGUGGAUAACCUACCUAUAAGACUGGGAUAACUUCGGGAAACCGGAGCUAAUACCGGAUAAUAUUUUGAACCGCAUGGUUCAAAAGUGAAAGACGGUCUUGCUGUCACUUAUAGAUGGAUCCGCGCUGCAUUAGCUAGUUGGUAAGGUAACGGCUUACCAAGGCAACGAUGCAUAGCCGACCUGAGAGGGUGAUCGGCCACCACGGAACUGAGACACGGUCCAGACUCCUACAGGAGGCAGCAGUAGGGAAUCUUCCGCAAUGGGCGAAAGCCUGACGGAGCAACGCCGCGUGAGUGAUGAAGGUCUUCGGAUCGUAAAACUCUGUUAUUAGGGAAGAACAUAUGUGUAAGUAACUGUGCACAUCUUGACGGUACCUAAUCAGAAAGCCACGGCUAACUACGUG
rnacentral:rRNA from 1 species